ensembl:lncRNA
GUAACAUUUAACAUUUAUUGAAGGAAAAGAAAAAGAUAAACAGCAGCAAUGCGAUCCAUGUUACUGGGGAAGACUGAACAUCAAUAACUAAGUUUGUUUGACCAUUUAAAACUGCUAUAGUGGAACAACAGCGUGUGUAGAAGUUCUCUUGGUUUGAUUAAAACAAAUGAGAACUUCCUAAAUGCUGUAAAACAGCAUGAGUUGAGCAGAUAACAGGUUAUCCAUUUUAUUUUUGUCAAAGAAAUUUUGCAAAUAAAUAUCGGCCAUCAGCCGCCCGGAGUUAAAGAAUAUAUCAGUAUCGUAUCGACCUUGGAAAAAAAAAAAACCUAUGUAGUUCAACUCAGAAGAAAUCAGCAGACAUUAUCUUUAGAAACGUUUUAAUGAAAAGGAAUCCCAACAUGUGAGUAAAAGAGCGGGAGUGGAGGACGGAGCGGGCCGGGCCGGGUCACUGCAGCUGCUGCAGCCGCUCCAGCAGCUCGCACGCGCCGGGUCUGCGCAGGGCGUCUGCGCUCCAGCACGCGCCCAGCAGCGCGCGGAGCCGCCCCCCCAGCUCCGAGCGGAACACGGCGCUGUCCCGCAGCGAGGGCCGCAGCUCCUGCGCCACGAUGGCGUAGAGGACGCGCUGGCGCUCGCCCGCGUAGGGCGGCUCCCGGGUCAGCAGCUGCCACAGCGUGAUGCCGAAGGAGAAGAUGUCCGCCUUGGGAGACACCGCCUCGCCCUUCAGCAGCUCCGGGGCUCGGUGCGUGUGCACGAGGCUGUGCGCGUGCAGGUACCGGAGCCCGCGCGCGAUGUCCGCAGAGUACCGGAGGCAGCGCUCCUCCCGCAGCGGCUCCGGCGACCCGUAGAUGAUCUGCUGGAGGUUCCGGUUCCCCACGAACUCCAUCAGGAUGGUCCCGAUGCUGCUCUCGGCUUCGGAGCCUCCCGGCGUGGACGUGCUCGCCGCGAUCACGCGCACGAUGUUGUCGUGGUGCAGGUGAGCGACGUUCAGCUCCGCCCAGAAGCUCUGGCGGGAAGCCAGCCGGUUCUUACUGCACUUGUUGACUCUCUUCAGAGCCACCGUCCUCCCGAGGUACUCCGCCCGGAACACGGAGCCGAACCCGCCCGAGCCCACCGCCUCCACGGAGCGCAGCUGCUCCCAAUGGAUGACCGAGGAGCAGCACCGGGGGGCGGCGGCGCGGCGCGGCGGGGGGGCCCAGCGGGCUGCUGCAGACACCGCCCGCCGCGUGGGGAAACAGGCCUCGGGGCAACAAGCGGCUGGGGGGGAUCGGGGAAGGCAUGGCGGAGUCUGGCCUCGCGGCCGCUACAGGUGCGUUUAUAUGGCGAGGGAGGAGGGACAAAAUACCGGCUGAGACCAGCGAUUUGGCUGUUCAUGGAUGUGCAGAUGAGGGAAGGAAACUUGUUUCUAAAAUGACGAACCAAGGUCAGAACUUUGCUGUGGACUAAACUUUUCCUUGUUCUCUCCAAUGUAGGAUUUCAUUUGCAUUAAAAAAAACAAAUAAAUAAAUCACAAGAGCUUUACAUAUUUUUAAUUCAUAUUUCUUACAUUGUUUCAGUACCGUUUUUUAUAUUUACUUAUUUUUUAUUUCAUUUUUGAAUUGCUUUUGGAUUUCCUAUGAUGUGUUAUCCCCCUUUUCAUGUUUUUUAGGAGUUUGUUGCAGACCUGAUGCAGAGGCAGCAGUGAAGCAUGAAUGUGGCCCGGGACGCCUGGAUCUGCACCUGAAAUGAUCCAAUACAUCAGGGGUCCUCAAACUUUUCCUCUGAUGUGGGGUCGGUUUGUAGGCUAACAGAAAAAGUGUAACAAUCACAUUGUCUUAUUGUAAUCAUUUACGGUUUUCAAGAAAGCCACACAUAGAAAAAUCUUAAAUCAUUUAUUUCUUAAAUCUUCAUCAGAAAUACAGUACAAAUAUUAGUGAAACGCCAAAUUAGCCUAAAAAAGUAUGAAUUAGACAAAACAGGUAGCAUGUAGCUUAAAUAUUAACUAAAUGCCAAAUUGGAAAAAAAAAAGAGAAAAUCUGUAAUUGAGCCAAAGCAGCUAGCGUAAAGCUAAAAUAUUAACUAAGCUAUAAAUUAGCUAAACUGAAAAAAAAAAAAUCAAAAAUUAAUGGAAUAAAUGUCACGUUCUAUGUGGUUUUCAAUUGGUGUUUCUGAAGUGUGUGGGGGGCCGGGCUAAAUGUGGAGGCGGGCCUGAUCUGGCCCGCGGGCCGUGGUUUGGGGACGCCUGCAAUAAAAACUAAACAUGUUUUUUUUUUUUAAGGAAGUUCUUGAUGGAACAAAAGGAAACGUGUCGCUUGAUUUCUCAUCUUGACGUCUGGAAUAAGAAUCUUCUAUGAUUGAAUGAAACUUUUCCCAUUCAUCACAUGUGCACAUCAGCUUCAUACACACCACGAGGAGGCACAUGAAGCUGCAGCUGUCACCUCCUCCUCUCUGUGGAUCCUCUGCUCCUCCUCAGGGUCCCUCUGCUCCAGCAGCAGUCCGCAGUUCUCCAGCAGGAUCUUUGCUGCCUCAGCUCUUGAAAAAACCCAAUCUCAUUAAAGAAAUACAGUGAUGAUUAUUCCUGUCAUUUAUUCAUUAAUGUAGCACACAGCAUCUAGUAAUCUCCUCACAAAUGGAUAACAGAUGGGAAAAAGUAAAGGUUAUUAAUUAGUAGAGGGAGGGGUUAAAAACAUUGUAGAACUUCUGCAUCUUUAUUUUUCCACUUGAAAUGUUUGUUGACGACAGGAGCAAUUACACAUUUAAAGUUGGGCAUUUCCCGUGUUGUGCUUAAACUGGCUAACAUCUACACUCAGAAAUAUUUUCAAAUCUCUAUUUUAGAUUUUUGGGUGGACGUUUCUGUCCACAGGAGGGCAGAGAUCAGAACUGAACAGGAUGUGGUUCCAGCUCAGACUCCACUGAAUCUUAGAGCUGAUGAAGCUUCUUAUAAUAAUAAUAAUGGAUUUGAUUUAUCUGCACUUUUCCAGCGGCCCAAAGCACUUACAAUGAAUAUGCAUGAGUCAUUCAAACCUGUCAUACUUGGUGAUGGUUAGCUACUGCUGCCCUGGGGCAGGCUGACAGAGGCGUGGCUACCAGUUCGUGCCCAUGGCCCCUCUGACCAUCACCGGGACAUUCAUACACAUUCACACGCCAGUGGAGCCACACUGGAGGAAAGCAGGGUGAAGUGUCUUGCCCAAGGACACAACGACGGUUGGCUGGCUCGAUCAUUGGCUGACCUGCUCCACCACCUGAACUCCUGUCAGUGUUCAGCACAUCUUCACAUCUUUACACUUGCUUUCCUCAAAGCCAGCUGUUAUCUCCAUAAAACUGCAUCAUCAUCCUAAAAGGAGAUUAGAGAAACUUUCUCAAAAUUCACAUUUGUUGAGGUUGAAGAACAGAAAUAUUCCCAGUGUAAUGUUGAAGCAGGUAAAAAACAUCAAUCAGCUGAGCUUGGUUUAUUUUAGAUCAUUAAAAAUGCUUCACUUCUUCUCUGAGAGAUUUUCUCAAUGCAGGAAAGUUUAAAAAAAGUAAAUACUUUUUCAGCAACGUAUGAAAUUUCAGUCAAUUUUUUGUUUUGGGAAUAGUAACGCUGAGCAGCGUCGCUGUGUUAUGGAAUAGACUGAAUGACCUUUGACUUUUUAUGCAACAACAGGAAGUAGAGUUGAGGAGGGGAAGAACGCAGUUCGUCUGAUGUCCUGCUCUGAAUGUGUCAAACUACCAUCAGCAUGAUGUUAGUGAGAACAAACACAAAGCUGUCUUCUCCAGAGUCAAAGGUUUGGUUCACAUACUGAAUGUCAUUAAAGUCCCCCGUAACAAUUUUUUUAAAUUUUCCUUAAAUGUUCCCAGUGGGGUUUUAAUUAGGACUGUUAAGUUUUGAACACAUGCUAAAUGUCUUAAAAAGCCAUUUUUCCUGUUGCUCUGAAGCCUUACUUUCCAAAAAAAAAAAAUCCCUCUGUGUGGGCGUGGCUUAUGGUGUUGAGCUGUGUAAGUCGUGUAAGUCGUCGCCCCCCCAGACAUGCUCACGAGACACACACUUUGAUAAACCCAUGAAAAAAUAAAAUAAACUCAAACCUUUCCAUUCCUGCUGCAUUGCAGCAGCAGCAGCUCUAUCUGGGGUUCAGAACUGAUUUCAUGCUGAUUGUUGAAUUCACUUCAACAAGAAAUCUCAUGAAAUGAAAUGAAGAAUACAGAGAGGGUCUAAUCAAGCGUCAGUUUGUAAAUGUGUGCAGUG